CGCUAUCACUCCUACGGGAGGCAGCAGUGGGGAAUCUUGGACAAUGGGCGCAAGCCUGAUCCAGCCAUGCCGCGUGAGUGAUGAAGGCCCUAGGGUCGUAAAGCUCUUUCGCCAGGGAUGAUAAUGACAGUACCUGGUAAAGAAACCCCGGCUAACUCCGUGCCAGCAGCCGCGGUAAUACGGAGGGGGUUAGCGUUGUUCGGAAUUACUGGGCGUAAAGCGCGCGUAGGCGGACUGGAAAGUUGGGGGUGAAAUCCCGGGGCUCAACCCCGGAACUGCCUCCAAAACUCCCAGUCUUGAGUUCGAGAGAGGUGAGUGGAAUUCCGAGUGUAGAGGUGAAAAUUCGUAGAUAUUCGGAGGAACACCAGUGGCGAAGGCGGCUCACUGGCUCGAUACUGACGCUGAGGUGCGAAAGUGUGGGGAGCAAACAGGAUUAGAUACCCUGGUAG
rnacentral:rRNA from 1 species